CCUACGGGAGGCAGCAGUGAGGAAUAUUGGACAAUGGGCGCAAGCCUGAUCCAGCCAUGCCGCGUGCAGGAAGACGGUCCUAUGGAUUGUAAACUGCUUUUGUACAGGAAGAAACACUCCCUCGUGAGGGAGCUUGACGGUACUGUAAGAAUAAGGAUCGGCUAACUCCGUGCCAGCAGCCGCGGUAAUACGGAGGAUCCAAGCGUUAUCCGGAAUCAUUGGGUUUAAAGGGUCCGUGGGCGGUUUAAUAAGUCAGUGGUGAAAUCUGGUCGCUCAACGAUCAAACGGCCAUUGAUACUGUUAGACUUGAAUUAUUAGGAAGUAACUAGAAUAUGUAGUGUAGCGGUGAAAUGCUUAGAUAUUACAUGGAAUACCAAUUGCGAAGGCAGGUUACUACUAAUGGAUUGACGCUGAUGGACGAAAGCGUGGGGAGCGAACAGGAUUAGAUACCCUGGUAGUCCACGCCGUAAACGAUGGAUACUAGCUGUUCGGAGCAAUCUGGGUGGCUAAGCGAAAGUGAUAAGUAUCCCACCUGGGGAGUACGUUCGCAAGAAUGAAACUUAAAGGAAAUUGACGGCUGAGAGNGCGAGACGACGACGAGGAGGAGG
rnacentral:rRNA from 1 species